UGAGGAAUAUUGGGCAAUGCCCGAAAGGGUGACCCAGCAACGCCGCGUGGAGGAUGAAGGUCGUAAGAUUGUAAACUCCUGUUAGAGGGGAAGAAUAACUAAGUUUGGAGCUUAGUAUGACUGUACCCUCAGAGAAAGCCCCGGCUAACGACGUGCCAGCAGCCGCGGUAAUACGUAGGGGGCAAGCGUUGUCCGGAUUUACUGGGUGUAAAGGGCGCGCAGGCGGAAUGGAAAGUCAGUGGUGAAAUCCUACAGCUUAACUGUAGAACUGCCUUUGAUACUUUCAUUCUUGAGUUCGGGAGAGAGAGACGGAAUUCCAGGUGUAGUGGUGAAAUACGUAGAUAUCUGGAAGAACACCAGUUGCGAAGGCGGUCUCUUGGUCCGAUACUGACGCUGAGGCGCGAAAGCGUGGGGAGCAAACA
rnacentral:rRNA from 1 species